rnacentral:rRNA from 1 species
GCGAAAAAGCUAGCCUAAACACACCAAAUAAACGACCAACCAUCAAUAACAGACAAAAAACCAACUAAAGCAUUUUUCCACCUAAGUAUAGGCGAUAGAAAAGGACACACUCUUAGAGCCAUAGAAAAAGUACCGCAAGGGAAAGCUGAAAAAGAAAUGAAAGAACCCAUAAAGCAAUAAAAAGCAGAGAUUAAAACUCGUACCUUUUGCAUCAUGAUUUAGCAAGCACAAUCCAAGCAAAAGGAAUCUUAGUUUGGAACCCCGAAACUAGACGAGCUACUCCGGAGCAGUUUAAAAGAACCAACCCGUCUCUGUGGCAAAAGAGUGGGAAGACCCCCGAGUAGGAGUGAAAAACCUAACGAGCCUAGUUAUAGCUGGUUGCUUAAGAAAUGAAUUUUAGUUCAGCCCCGCAUAUUCCUUAGACCAAUACAACCGCUUACAAGGAACAAAGUGAUUUACGGGAGUUAGUCAAAGGGGGUACAGCCCCUUUGAAACAGGACACAACCUUAUCAGACGGACAAGGAUCAAAAGUACUAAAGGAUAAAACCCCUCAGUGGGCCCAAAAGCAGCCACCUGGAAAGAAAGCGUUAUAGCUCAAGGAACAACUCCACCAACAAUAAUGACAAUAUAUCCAAACCCCCUAAAAAUAUUAAGCCACUCUAUGCUCACAUAGAAGAAACAAUGCUAAAAUGAGUAAUAAGAGAGCAUUCAGCUCCCUCCAAGCGCAAGUGUAAGUCAGAACGGACAAGCCACUGACAAUCAACGGACCCAAACCUGAGGGAAAAACAAUGGAAGAAAUACACAAGAAAACCUUGCAUAAAAAAACCGUUAACCCAACACAGGUGCGCAAUAAAGGAAAGACUAAAAGGAGAGGAAGGAACUCGGCAAACACUAACCCCGCCUGUUUACCAAAAACAUCGCCUCUUGCUAAAAAGAAUGUAUUAGAGGUCCCGCCUGCCCUGUGACCACUGUGUUUAACGGCCGCGGUAUCAUAACCGUGCGAAGGUAGCGUAAUCACUUGUCUUUUAAAUGAAGACCUGUAUGAAUGGCACCACGAGGGUUUAUCUGUCUCCCCCCCCUAGUCAAUGAAAUUGAUCUGUCCGUGCAGAAGCGGACAUAAAAACAUAAGACGAGAAGACCCUAUGGAGCUUCAGGCUAAAGGCCCAAACAUGUAAAAAAUCUCACAUAAACGAAAGAAACAAAGUAGAUUCAAACCUAAUGUACUAUGACCACAUGCCUUCGGUUGGGGCGACCACGGGGGAAAACAAAGCCCCCGAAUGGAAUGAAGACAUCUUCCGAACCAAGAAACACAUUUCUAAGUAACAGAAAAUCUGACCAAACAUGACCCAGGAUAAAUUUACCCGAUCAAUGAACCAAGUUACCCUAGGGAUAACAGCGCAAUCCUUUCCCAGAGUCCCUAUCGACGAAAGGGUUUACGACCUCGAUGUUGGAUCAGGACAUCCUAAUGGUGAAGCCGCUAUUAAGGGUUCGUUUGUUCAACGAUUAACAGUCCUACGUGAUCUGAGUUCAGACCGGAGCAAUCCAGGUCGGUUUCUAUCUAUGACUAUACUUCUCCCCAGUACGAAAGGACCGGGAAAAGAGGGCCCAUACUAAAAGCAAGCCCCACCUCAACCCCUUGAAAACAAAUAAAAGAGAUAAUGAAGUAUAUCCAACUCACCAAAGAUAAUGGUAG